rnacentral:rRNA from 1 species
AUGGAUCCUUGCGACAAACUACAUGUGCGGUUUCAUUUUGGUGGCCAAUUUGUUCGGAUUGGGCCUACUUUAGACUAUGUUGGUGGAGAUGAAGCAAGUUCAGAGAUUGAAAGGGAUAGAUUGUCUUUGCCAGAGAUCAAAGGCUUUCUUGGUGAUCACAUACCAGUGAAAGAAAGUAUGAAGAUUCACUUCCUGAUGCCUGGUAAAAAACUAGUGGAUGGCCUAUUAUUUUUGUGUGAUGAUGUUGGUUGUAUGAAGAUGUCUGAAUAUAUAACUGAUGGAGGAGUGGCUGAGGUCUAUGUGGAGUAUUUUGGGGAGCAAGAUGAUCAGAGUGCAAGUGACAGUGGUAGUGAUUUUGAAAAUGAGAUGGACAAUGAUUUAGAAGGAGAGACUGAUGUAGAACCAGAUGCAGUCAUAACUGCAGAUGAUGAUGUGCAAAUAAUUAGUGUGGAUCCAUCAUCAUAUGAUGAGGAAAGUGAUCAUGAAGGAGAAUUUGUUAGGAGGAAAACUAAGUUCCCUCGGUACAACCCUAAGGUAGAUAUUCCACUAUUCUGCUUGGGAAUGUUUUUCAGGAGCAAGGAACAGAUGAGGAAGGCACUAAUAAAAUAUGGACUUCUGACAUUUAGAAGUAUAAACUUCAUGAAGUCAGAAGAAGGGAGGAUCAGGGCUAAGUGUGGAUGGCCUGGAUGUCCGUGGACUAUAUAUGGUGCUUAUAGUAGCAGGUGUUCUAGAUUUCAGGUGAUCACAUAUGAAGAUCAACAUGAGUGUGCACCUAACAGAGACAAUCACCUUGUCACAGCAAAAGUUAUUGCUAGGAGAUAUGAGCACAUCUUAAGAGCCAAUCCGACAUGGAAAAUUGAUAGCAUUAAAGCCACGGUUCUGAAAGAUUUCUUUGCGGAUGUUUCAACAUCAAAGUGCAAGGCUGCUAAGAAGAUAGUGUCAGAGAAGCUACUUGCCGGACUGAAAGAUGAGUACACCAAGGUGUUCGACUACCAGCUUGAACUACUUAGGAGCAAUCCUGGGAGCACAAUCCUUGUUGGCUUGAACCCUGAGUACAUGGAUCAAAAUAUUUUCCAAAGCUUCUAUGUAUGCUUCAAUGCUAUGAAAAAGGGUUUUAAAGCUUGCAGAAGAGUUAUUGGGCUUGAUGGCUGUUUUUUCAAAGGAGCAUGUCAAGGUGAGCUUCUAUGUGCUAUUGGUAGAGAUGCUAAUAAUCAAAUGUAUCCAGUAGCUUGGGCAGUAGUGGAGAAAGAAACUAGUGAAUCUUGGGAGUGGUUUGUUGGCCUUUUGAUAAAGGACUUGGAUAUUAAUGAUCAAGGUGAAGGAUGGGUGUUCAUAUCAGAUCAACAGAAGGGCCUUAUCAAUGCAAUGCAAAACUACGUACCAAAGGCACAACAUAGAAUGUGUGCUAGACACAUCUAUGCUAACUGGAAAAAAAAGUUUAGAGAACAUGCUCUGCAAAAGAAAUUUUGGGCAAUUGCCAAGGCUGCAAAUAGAGAAGAUUUCAUGUAUAGGAAGGCCAAGUUAGCUCAAGAUACACCUGAAGGUGCAAGGGACAUAAUGAGGACAGAGCCUAAGCAUUGGGCAAGAGCAUUUUUUCCUGUUGGGUCCCUUUGUGACUCAGUUGAUAACAAUCUAUGUGAGUCCUUUAACAAUGCUAUAGUUGAGGCCAGAUUCUAUCCUAUCAUCUCUAUGCUAGAGAAGAUUAGACAUAAGAUGACACUUAGAGUCCAAGAAAAUAGGAGCAAAAGUGAAAAGUGGACAUCUAGUGAUAUAUGCCCAAACAUUUUCAAGAAGCUUAAGGUGGCCAUCAAAAUGACUCAGUUCUGUGAUGUGCUCUGGAAUGGCAAGGAAGGGUUUGAGGUGAAACAUGUCAGUGGCAGAGGAAGGAGCUAUACAGUGAACUUGGACAAAUGGACUUGCUCUUGUGGUUACUUUCAGCUAGCAGGGAUGCCUUGUUGCCAUGCCAUCAGUGCCAUAUACAAGAGUGGAAGAAACAUAGCUGACUUCAUUCACAAAUGCUAUUCAGUUGAGCAAUUUAAGAAGAUAUAUGAGCGCUGCUUGGAGCCAGUAGAAGGACAAGAGAGAUGGCCUAUCUCUGACAAACCUAGACCACAAGCACCUGGGUAUGUGAGUAUGCCAGGUAGGCCUAGGAAUAAUGACAGGAAGAGGGAAGAGGGAGAAGCACCAAAAGGAAAGAAAAUGUCAAAGCAUGGCAUUAAAAUUACUUGCAGCAUGUGUGGCCACAAGGGGCACAACAAGACAGGUUGCCACAAGAAUCCUGAAAAGGGGAAGAAGAAGAAUGCCUUCCUGAAGAAAACAGGCAGGAAAAUGAAGUCAUCUGAGCAAGCAAACACUGAUGCUCAAAUCAGAUCAAGCCAGCAAGCUAAAAGCAUAGGAGAAGUUCAAGCACAAGCAGGAUCAAAUGGUGGGAAGAGGAAGGCUACCAAAAAACAGAAUGUGCAAUCCAAGAAAAAAUCAAAGAUGUGA